rnacentral:tRNA from 1 species
GGAGUGAUGUCUGAGUGGUUUAAAGAGCUCGGUUGCUAACCGUGUGUAUGGUAAUACUGUACCGAGGGUUCAAAUCCCUCUCACUCCA